CUGUUUCAUAGUGAAAAUAAGCUUGGCGCCCCCUCGCGGCCCAAGUGCGCAUAUGCAUUUAACGUUGUUGUGCUGCGAUCUCUACAGGGGCGAUGAACAAAUCUUUGGCGAAUGUUGUGGCAUUUGGUGCUGACACGACCAACUCUCUCUGUCUGUCCCCAACAGUUUAUUUAUUUCGCAAGAAUUCCGUGGAGGAAACAUUUUUUUCCAUGUUUGAAGUCUUGCUUGGUGAUGGAAUGAGUCAUUUUCUGAAGCAAUGAGAUGGAAGGAACCUUCAUAGCAUCCAACAAACAAGGAUUUCUAUGAGGCAUUGUGUUUUCCACAUUGCAGACCUCUGUAUCACCAACUUAAAUGAGCCUCCACCUGUCCACCAUGAUCUCCCCCAAACUUAAUCCACACCUCUUCUUCAGGAAUUGCCCCAUCGUGAGUUGUGAGAAAUCCAUUCCUGUGGAAAGAUGAUGGAACAUGAACAUAAGGUCUGUGACUCUGCUCUGGACCUAGUGAAUCACUGUUGACUGUCCAUGGUUCAAGUGAGGAUUGGCAAACCUGGUCAUUUCUUGAUUACCUACAGAAUGCAAUUGCAACAUAUGCAAAAUCUUAUGCAGGAAUGGGGCUAUAGCAGUGAUGGGACACUACCUUUGACUGUGAAGAUCAGACGAUGCAAUUCCUGUUGGUCAGCCCCCCCCCCCACCCCAAGGAGCCAUGCACUGCCAGAGAUCUUGAGCCAGGUCUUCAGUGGUUAUCCAUUGAUAAGAAGAACGGAGAUAAUAAAGACAGUGAGGUAUCUUGUUGAUUUCGACGUGACCAUCUUCCUGACGCUUCUUCCAAACAAUGAAACUGGAGGCUCUUUCCACGAAUGAAUGUUUAGCUGCUUCAAGUGUGAUUCCAGCUUUUUCAAGAGCUUCUUGUUGUUCUACUUCUACUGGCCUUUAUUGUAGUUAACAUGUCCUGUGAAUGUUUUUAGGAGGCCAGUUUUGCUACAAACACAGUAAACCUCAAGUUCACAUAUAGUUAAAAAACAGGGACUACUUGUAACAUUAUCUAGGAAAAAGUUCUACAAAUUGGACAUGGUGAAACUUUUCAUUCAUUAUGUUUUCAGUAUUUACUGAGGUACUCACUACAAAAGGAAGUUGGGGUCAAAAGGUCAAGUUUUUGUUCAACUUGGUCACAUUCCUUUAUUUCUGCAUCAAUUAUGUUCACACUUCAUCUGAUCCCUGGGUAAUACAUGUACUUUCAUUAGGAUAAUGGGUCAAAGGCCUAAUGUUAAUAAUCAACUGCCUAAUGUUAAUAAUCAACUGAAAAUUACUUAGUCAGAAAAGGUGGUUUAUUGGAUUCCCUAUCUUUUGCUUGUAAUUAUUAUUUUUUUCAAAUUUAGUAUUUCUCCAUCAAAUCUGACAAAUUCAUUAUUUUUUUAUCAAUAAUUAUUAAACGAUGUCAGUAAUAACAGUUUUGAGAAACAUGUGCAAGUAUAUGUACCAAUAUCCAUGUGCAGAAUAUUUGCUGGAAGGUUAAAUGCUACAGUGAAAUUUUAAAGUGCGCAACCAUAGGAUACGGGAAAAAAGUUCUUGCAGCCUUUGAUGUACUUUUAAAGAUCAAGAUAGAAUUCACCCAAAACAUCUAUUAGGUGUUAGUAGCUGAAAAUAUCCUAGAUUAGUUCAGAACUAUUCAUCUGGAAGAAGAGACAAGUCAAAGCAUUUUAAACAAUUUCAAAACUUACCUGCGCUAUAUUUGUUUUUAAUUGAUAUGCAGUUAGAAUUGAUCAAAUUCUGAUUGCAAGCUGACAAAUUAUAUAUAUAUUUUGUGCCCGCCGUAGCAACACUCUUGUUCGAUUUGAAGUGUAUUGAUUAAGAAGUUAUUACAUGUAACAGUCUGUUAAAAUUCUUGGUGUAAUCGUCCAAUCCAAUCUAAAAUGGGACCUACAUAUCAUGGAAAUCAUCAAAAAAUGUAACAGGAAGUUGUACAUGUUUAGGCUUUCGAAGCAAUAUGGGCUGUCUCUAUCGGAUCUGAAAUUGGUAUACAUUGGCUACAUUCGUCCUGUUAUGGAAUAUUGCACCCCAGUUUUUAAUGGUGGGCUUACAAAGAAAUAUGUAAGAAGUUUAGAGCAAAUUAAAAAAAGAGCUUGUAGAAUCAUGUUGGGCCCAAACUACCCGGGCAAACUACACAGAUUAUGCCAGUGCUUGCCUAUCAUGUGAAAUUCCUACUCUGGAAUACAAAAGGGAGAAACUCGGCCUGGAUUUUGCAAUAUCUGUAACCAAAUAUCCAACAUUCAGUACCUGGUUACCUCCUCCAAAAAACUUACCCAUCAAUCUCCGACAUACUCCUAGAUAUCAGCAAUACAAAUGUAGGACAAAUCGAUUUCGCAGUAGCCCCAUACCAUAUUUCAUAGAUCUCCUGAAUAAAGACAUGCCCAAUCAAUAAACCCAUUGCUCAUUUGAAAGCAAUACCAGCCUACUUGCAAUAUCAAGUUUUUUAAUGAAUGAGGAAAUCAACUUUUUAAUAUCCAUAUAUUUUUAUUGAUCUUUUACAAACGU